AAACGGCCCCAGGCCCUACGGGGCGCAGCAGGCGCGAAAACUCCGCAAUACGCGAAAGCGUGACGGGGGGAUCCCAAGUGUCAUGCCUUAGGGCAUGACUUUUGCAGAGUGUAAAAAGCUCUUCGAAUAAGAGCUGGGUAAGACCGGUGCCAGCCGCCGCGGUAACACCGGCAGCUCAAGUGGUGGCCACUAUUAUUGGGCCUAAAGCGUCCGUAGCCGGAUUGAUAAGUCCUUGGGAAAAUCCGCUCGUUCAACGAACGGGAACCUGAGGAUACUGUCAAACUAGGGAACGAGAGAAGUCAGAAGUACUCCUGGGGUAGCGGUGAAAUGUUGUAAUCCUGGGGGGACUACCAGUGGCGAAGGCGUCUGACUAGAGCGGAUUUGACGGUGAGGGACGAAAGCUAGGGGAGCGAUCCGGAUUAGAUACCCGAGUAGUCCUAGCUGUAAACGCUGCGAGCAAGGUGUUGCAUAAUCCUGUGAUUAUGCAGUGUCGAAACGAAGGUGUUAAGCUCGCCGCCUGGGAAGUAUGGUCGCAAGACUGAAACUUAAAGGAAUUGGCGGGGGAGCACUACAAGGGGUGCGGCGUGCGGUUUAAUCUAAUUCAACACAGAGAAUCUCACCAGAAGCGAUGGCAGGAUGAAGGUCAGGUUAAAGGCCUUACCUAACAGGCCAAGAGGUAGUGCAUGGCCGUCGUCAGCUCGUGCCGUAAGGUGUCCUGUUAAGUCAGGCAACGAGCGAGACCUAUACUUACAAUUGCCAUCAAGCUUAGCGAUUGGGCACAUUGUGAGAACUGCCCUUGAAAAGGGGAGGAAGGUGUAGGCUACGGUAGGUCUGUAUGCUCCGAAUCUUCUGGGCUACACGCGCGCAACAAUGGCAGAAACAAUGGGAUGCGACUCCGAAAGGAGAAGCCAAUCUUCUAAAUUCUGUCUUAGUCCAGAUCGAGGAUUGUAACUCAUCCUCGUGACGUUGGAAUCCCUAGUAAUCAGAUUUUAUCAAAGUCUGGUGAACAUGUCCCUGCUCCUUGCACACACCGCCCGUCAAACCAACCGAGUUGGGUUUGGGUGAGAUGCAGCUUUCAGUUGUAUCGAAUCCAGAUUCGGUGAGGUGGGUUAAGUCGUCACAAGGUAGCCGUAGGGGAACCUACGGCUG
rnacentral:rRNA from 1 species